CAGCCGCCGCGGUAAUACGAAGGGUGCAAGCGUUAAUCGGAAUUACUGGGCGUAAAGGGCUCGCAGGCGGUUUCUUAAGUCUGAUGUGAAAGCCCCCGGCUCAACCGGGGAGGGUCAUUGGAAACUGGGAAACUUGAGUGCAGAAGAGGAGAGUGGAAUUCCACGUGUAGCGGUGAAAUGCGUAGAGAUGUGGAGGAACACCAGUGGCGAAGGCGACUCUCUGGUCUGUAACUGACGCUGAGGAGCGAAAGCGUGGGGAGCGAACAGGAUUAGAUACCCCUGUAGUCCCUGUCUCUUAUAC
rnacentral:rRNA from 1 species